rnacentral:rRNA from 1 species
UCAUCUUCGGGGGUAGAGCACUGUUUCGGCUAGGGGGUCAUCCCGACUUACCAACCCGAUGCAAACUACGAAUACCGAAGAAUGUUAUCACGGGAGACACACGGCGGGUGCUAACGUCCGUCGUGAAGAGGGAAACAACCCAGACCGCCAGCUAAGGUCCCAAAGUCACAGUUAAGUGGGAAACGAUGUGGGAAGGCACAGACAGCCAGGAUGUUGGCUUAGAAGCAGCCAUCAUUUAAAGAAAGCGUAAUAGCUCACUGGUCGAGUCGGCCUGCGCGGAAGAUGUAACGGGGCUAAACUGUGCACCGAAGCUGCGGCAGCGACACUAUGUGUUGUUGGGUAGGGGAGCGUUCUGUAAGCCUGCGAAGGUGGCCUGUGAGGGUUGCUGGAGGUAUCAGAAGUGCGAAUGCUGACAUAAGUAACGAUAAUGCGGGUGAAAAGCCCGCACGCCGGAAGACCAAGGGUUCCUGUCCAACGUUAAUCGGGGCAGGGUGAGUCGACCCCUAAGGCGAGGCCGAAAGGCGUAGUCGAUGGGAAACAGGUUAAUAUUCCUGUACUUGGUGUUACUGCGAAGGGGGGACGGAGAAGGCUAUGUUAGCCGGGCGACGGUUGUCCCGGUUUAAGCAUGUAGGCGGAGGUUCCAGGUAAAUCCGGUACCUUUUAACGCUGAGGUGUGAUGACGAGGCACUACGGUGCUGAAGUAACAAAUGCCCUGCUUCCAGGAAAAGCCUCUAAGCAUCAGGUAACAUUGAAUCGUACCCCAAACCGACACAGGUGGUCAGGUAGAGAAUACCAAGGCGCUUGAGAGAACUCGGGUGAAGGAACUAGGCAAAAUGGUGCCGUAACUUCGGGAGAAGGCACGCUGAUAUGUAGGUGAAGCCCCUGCGGGUGGAGCUGAAAUCAGUCGAAGAUACCAGCUGGCUGCAACUGUUUAUUAAAAACACAGCACUGUGCAAACACGAAAGUGGACGUAUACGGUGUGACGCCUGCCCGGUGCCGGAAGGUUAAUUGAUGGGGUUAUCCGUAAGGAGAAGCUCUUGAUCGAAGCCCCGGUAAACGGCGGCCGUAACUAUAACGGUCCUAAGGUAGCGAAAUUCCUUGUCGGGUAAGUUCCGACCUGCACGAAUGGCGUAAUGAUGGCCAGGCUGUCUCCACCCGAGACUCAGUGAAAUUGAACUCGCUGUGAAGAUGCAGUGUACCCGCGGCAAGACGGAAAGACCCCGUGAACCUUUACUAUAGCUUGACACUGAACAUUGAGCCUUGAUGUGUAGGAUAGGUGGGAGGCUUUGAAGCGUGGACGCCAGUCUGCGUGGAGCCAACCUUGAAAUACCACCCUUUAAUGUUUGAUGUUCUAACGUUGGCCCCUAAUCGGGGUUGCGGACAGUGUCUGGUGGGUAGUUUGACUGGGGCGGUCUCCUCCCAAAGAGUAACGGAGGAGCACGAAGGUUAGCUAAUCCUGGUCGGACAUCAGGAGGUUAGUGCAAUGGCAUAAGCUAGCUUGACUGCGAGCGUGACGGCGCGAGCAGGUGCGAAAGCAGGUCAUAGUGAUCCGGUGGUUCUGAAUGGAAGGGCCAUCGCUCAACGGAUAAAAGGUACUCCGGGGAUAACAGGCUGAUACCGCCCAAGAGUUCAUAUCGACGGCGGUGUUUGGCACCUCGAUGUCGGCUCAUCACAUCCUGGGGCUGAAGUAGGUCCCAAGGGUAUGGCUGUUCGCCAUUUAAAGUGGUACGCGAGCUGGGUUUAGAACGUCGUGAGACAGUUCGGUCCCUAUCUGCCGUGGGCGCUGGAGAAUUGAGGGGGGCUGCUCCUAGUACGAGAGGACCGGAGUGGACGCAUCACUGGUGUUCGGGUUGUCAUGCCAAUGGCAUUGCCCGGUAGCUAAAUGCGGAAGAGAUAAGUGCUGAAAGCAUCUAAGCACGAAACUUGCCCCGAGAUGAGUUCUCCCUGAGACUUUAAGUCUCCUGAAGGAACGUUAAAGACGAUGACGUUGAUAGGUCGGGUGUGUAAGCGUAGCGAUACGUUGAGCUAACCGAUACUAAUGAACCGUGAGGCUUAACCUUACAACGCCGAAG